rnacentral:rRNA from 1 species
AUUGAACGCUGGCGGCAGGCUUAACACAUGCAAGUCGAGCGGGGGAAGGUAGCUUGCUACCGGACCUAGCGGCGGACGGGUGAGUAAUGCUUAGGAAUCUGCCUAUUAGUGGGGGACAACAUCUCGAAAGGGAUGCUAAUACCGCAUACGUCCUACGGGAGAAAGCAGGGGAUCUUCGGACCUUGCGCUAAUAGAUGAGCCUAGGUCGGAUUAGCUAGUUGGUGGGGUAAAGGCCUACCAAGGCGACGAUCUGUAGCGGGUCUGAGAGGAUGAUCCGCCACACUGGGACUGAGACACGGCCCAGACUCCUACGGGAGGCAGCAGUGGGGAAUAUUGGACAAUGGGGGGAACCCUGAUCCAGCCAUGCCGCGUGUGUGAAGAAGGCCUUAUGGUUGUAAAGCACUUUAAGCGAGGAGGAGGCUACUAUAGUUAAUACCUAGAGAUAGUGGACGUUACUCGCAGAAUAAGCACCGGCUAACUCUGUGCCAGCAGCCGCAGUAA